UAAUCUUUAUAGUUUAAAAAAAACAUUACACUGAAAAUGUAAAAAUAUUAUUUUAAAGA
rnacentral:tRNA from 1 species